GAUGAACGCUGGCGGCGUGCCUAAUACAUGCAAGUCGAGCGAACGGACGAGAAGCUUGCUUCUCUGAUGUUAGCGGCGGACGGGUGAGUAACACGUGGAUAACCUACCUAUAAGACUGGGAUAACUUCGGGAAACCGGAGCUAAUACCGGAUAAUAUAUUGAACCGCAUGGUUCAAAAGUGAAAGACGGUCUUGCUGUCACUUAUAGAUGGAUCCGCGCUGCAUUAGCUAGUUGGUAAGGUAACGGCUUACCAAGGCAACGAUGCAUAGCCGACCUGAGAGGGUGAUCGGCCACACUGGAACUGAGACACGGUCCAGACUCCUACGGGAGGCAGCAGUAGGGAAUCUUCCGCAAUGGGCGAAAGCCUGACGGAGCAACGCCGCGUGAGUGAUGAAGGUCUUCGGAUCGUAAAACUCUGUUAUUAGGGAAGAACAUAUGUGUAAGUAACUGUGCACAUCUUGACGGUACCUAAUCAGAAAGCCACGGCUAACUACGUG
rnacentral:rRNA from 1 species